AAGGUUGUUGCACUUGUGACUGGAUUCACAUCCAGUGCAAUACCUCAAAACCCAGCCAUUAAAAUAUUUCACAGCCCACCCACUGUUUUGAGCCUGCCCAAUGUUCUGGUAAAAGUCUUGAGUAACCAAACAGAAAAUCAAAUUUUUUUUUUUCUCUCUCUCUCCCCUGCGCAGCUACCGUCUCUGCCUCUCUUUCAACCCAUUCUCUGCCUUUCCUUCAAUCCAUUGUCACAGCAGCCCCAGCUCAUACCCAAACACUGAAACUUAGCAUUUGAAACCAAACCCCCCAAACACUCACACUCCCUCUUUCUCGUGUGUGAAGCUAUCCCAAGUCCCAACUCUCAUGGAGUGAAGGUCUCUCUGAAGCCAAACGCCUUUGUGUUAGUCACCGCGGGUCCAUCCCCAACACAGAAGAAGAUCGAGCAAGACAAGAACAGAACACAGAAAGACAGAAGUCAGAAGAACAACCUCAAACUCCUCUGCUUCUUUCCACCAUGCACGCUUCAAUCUCGAUCUAGGACUCGCCCUUUCCACUCGGUGAGUUCAUCAACUCAAAUACCAGGUUUUGUUUUCUUCUUCUUCUUUGAAUGGCAUACUCUUUAUUCUUUUCCUUAAUGAGCUGACUUUCUAAUCUUGCCCAAUAUAUGUAUUAGUUAUUUCUUAUACCCAAAAGAAAAUCACCAUAUAUUUUUUUUUUUUGGGGCUAAAUCUCCCUAUCCUUUGGAAUAUUUAGGCAAAACAUAAUUUGAGUUGAAAAAAGUUACUUUUUGAUACCAGGGUUUAUUGUAACUAUCUACCAUAAACUAUAGGAUUGUUUGUAAUGUCCAUCCUAAACUAUAAAUUUUUGUGAUCAAUAUAUAUUCAAUACUCAGAUUGGAGAUCAGUUUACCAGUCAAAAUUAGUGUUGAAUUUACCAAAUUAGUGGGCUGGUUUAUGUGGUAGUGUGCUCUAAUGUAUCAAAAUUAAUUUGUAAUGUUAACUCCAUCAUUGUCUCAAGUAUCAAAUGAUGCAGUUGUUUGUCAGGUAAAACGUAAACGUUGCUUUUAAGUGACUAUCUUCCCUCAGUUGAGCUCUGCCAAUAUUCCCUACUUUUUUUUUUCCCAUGAACUUGUUAGAUUUGAAGUUUGUUUUUCUGAUUGGUUUGUAUUAUGAAGUUUCUGUUGAAGUAGUUUCUGUUGAAGUGGCUUUAUGUGUUUAAGUGGGUCUUGGCUGUCAGUCAGGUAGUUGAUGGGUUGGGAUAUUGUUAUGGUUUGGCUGUGUGUUGUCUUGAUGACUAGUGAUUUGGGUUGGCUCUUUGAUGGUUGAUAGCGAUGGAUGAUUUGGGUGUGGCUGGCUAUUGAUCGGCUCUUGGCUAUGCAUACCUGGCAAUGGGUGAUUUGGGUUUUGGCUUGGCCUGUGGUGAGUGACUUACCUUUUGUGUGAGUGGCUUGGCCUGUGGUGAGUAACUCCAUCAUUCUUGACUGACAUUUUGUGAGUGGCUUGGCCUGUGGUGAGUAACUCCAUCGUUCCUGACUGACCUUUUUGUGUGAGUUCCACCUAUAACAAUUUGGUGAGUGACUUAUAUUUUUGGUUGAGGCAAGUUUGGUUUUGGUCCCUCAAAUUUAAAAUAUUUAGUUUUAAUUCUUACUCACCAAAUGAAUAUUGGUCAAGUAAAAAAUAAAUCCAUGUGUUUGUAUCCUCUCUACUUACCAAAUGAAUAAACUUAUUUGUUUAUAUAUAUACACAGGGAAAUGAAGUUAGGUCAAUUAUGGACUAACUUAUGUGUUGAAAAUACAAAUGCUUGCCUGGAAACACAACACUUUUUUGGUAUGUAAAAAACUAAUAAAUGGCUAAUAUUGAUUUUGCAAUAUGAUGGAUAACAUUUUUUGGACAGUUUGUUCGAUAGUAUAUUGCACAGUGGACAUGGUAGCAAAUUGCGCAGCGGAUAGCAUUUUUGGACAACUUUGCCUUGGACAGUUUCUUGGACAGCAAAUCUGACUUAUUUAGACAACUAAUUGCACAUGUAGCAAAUUUUUUGGAUAAUUUUUGUAACUAAAGAAGUUAGUCAAACAUGUUAAAUAUGUUAGAUUGUACAAGUGCAUAUUUGAGUAACUUCUAGUUAAACAUUAAUUAUAUUUGCAAGAGAUUAAUAUUUUUAAA